AUGAACUCUUCCCUUGGCCUUACGAUUAUACUCUUCUUAGUGCUUGGAGAAAGCAAUGGAGACUCGGUUACUCAGACAGAAGGCCAAGUGACACUCUCUGAAGGGAGUUCUAUGACUGUGAAUUGUUCCUAUGAAACCAAACAGUACCCUUCCCUGUUCUGGUAUGUGCAGUAUCCUGGAGAAGGUCCACAGCUCCUCUUUAGAGCCUCAAAGGCCAACGACAAGGGAAGCAGCAGAGGGUUUGAAGCCACAUAUGAUAAAGGAACCACCUCCUUCCACUUGCAGAAAGCCUCAGUGCAAGAGUCAGACUCGGCUGUGUACUACUGUGCUCUGGUUUCUGGUGGUUCCUGGGAUCCUGGCCUGGUCCAUCUGGGUUACAAUUGGCAUUAUGCUGACCUCAGUGAUUCUCCCCAGACCUUCAAUUUUGAGCACUGUUUUUGCAUCAACAUUAACCAUCUGUCACGGAGAUUCCAUAUGGACUUUGAAAAGAGAUUCCAUAUAAACAUGUCUUAA